AUUGAACGCUGGCGGCAUGCCUUACACAUGCAAGUCGAACGGUAACAGGUCUUCGGAUGCUGACGAGUGGCGAACGGGGGAGUAAUACAUCGGAACGUGCCCCGACGUGGGGGAUAACGAGGCGAAAGCUUUGCUAAUACCGCAUACGAUCUAAGGAUGAAAGCAGGGGACCGCAAGGCCUUGCGCGCUUGGAGCGGCCGAUGGCAGAUUAGGUAGUUGGUGGGAUAAAAGCUUACCAAGCCGACGAUCUGUAGCUGGUCUGAGAGGACGACCAGCCACACUGGGACUGAGACACGGCCCAGACUCCUACGGGAGGCAGCAGUGGGGAAUUUUGGACAAUGGGCGAAAGCCUGAUCCAGCAAUGCCGCGUGCAGGAUGAAGGCCUUCGGGUUGUAAACUGCUUUUGUACGGAACGAAAAGGCUCUGGCUAAUACCUGGGGCACAUGACGGUACCGAAAGAAUAAGCACCGGCUAACUACGUG
rnacentral:rRNA from 1 species